AUGCAGUGGGCUCUAUCCCUACUUCUGGCUUUCCUGCUUCCUCCCAGUCGGAUAUCUUCCAAUUCUGAAGGGAGAACGGUUUCAAUCACCAAGAAAACCGGGUCAUCUAUUAUUAUCACUUGUGAUAUUCAACAAAGUACCAACACGUACAUCCACUGGUACCUCUUCCAGGAGGGCAGGACCCCACAACGCAUUCUAUACUAUGACUUAGAUAAGUCCAAGAAAGUGGUGGAAUCAGGAAUCAAUCCAGGGAAAUACAAUGCUUUUAAAGCUGCAGACAGAAGUUUUAAAUUGCUACUGCGACAGGUGGAAGCAAGUGACUCUGAUGUGUAUUACUGUGCCACUUGGCUCAGGCAUAGUGACUCAGACCUGCCGUAUGACACACUGAAAACCUUGUUAGUAGCUGCUCCUGGUACACAAGCUGUCACCACUAUUCCUCAAGUGAAAGAGGAAAAUGCUAUCACCAGUAUUCCUCAUGUGAAAGAUGAAAAUGUUGUCACCACUGUUCCUUGUGUGAAUGAUGAAAGCGAUGAACUGCUGCUGCAGCUCAGGAAUACCUCUGCGUACUAUACCUACCUCCUCCUGCUCCUCAAGAGUGUGGCCUAUUCUGGGAUCGUGGCCUUCUGUCUGAUCGGAAGAACACCUGUCUGCUGCAGUGGGACGAGAUUCUAA